rnacentral:tmRNA from 1 species
GGGGGCGUACCGGUUUCGACUGGACGGAGGGACUGGAAGUGGCAUGUCGAGGAUGGUUCGUUGGCCUCGUAAAUCAUCGGACCAAAAAAAUAACUGCUAAUACUGAAUUAGCUCUCGCGGCCUAAGCUGCCGCGACGUUCACUGCCUGACGCCUGCUAAGGUCAGUGAGCGUUUACAGCAGGCGUAGGUCCGGCGCGGAGACGGCGCGCGUCGGGACGAAGUUUUUCCUGCCAUCUAGGAAAUCGGACGCGUGCCGGAAGGUUAUCCGAUCUCCGAAAAAUCUCUUCCGGCUAAACAUGUAGUCACCGCCGGCGAAUCAGCCCAGGACGCGGGUUCAACUCCCGCCGCCUCCACCA